rnacentral:rRNA from 1 species
GACGAACGCUGGCGGCGUGCCUAAUACAUGCAAGUAGAACGCUGAAGGAGGAGCUUGCUCUUCUGGAUGAGUUGCGAACGGGUGAGUAACGCGUAGGUAACCUGCCUGGUAGCGGGGGAUAACUAUUGGAAACGAUAGCUAAUACCGCAUAACGGUAGAUGUUGCAUGACAUUUACUUAAAAGGUGCAAUUGCAUCACUACCAGAUGGACCUGCGUUGUAUUAGCUAGUUGGUGGGGUAACGGCUCACCAAGGCGACGAUACAUAGCCGACCUGAGAGGGUGAUCGGCCACACUGGGACUGAGACACGGCCCAGACUCCUACGGGAGGCAGCAGUAGGGAAUCUUCGGCAAUGGACGGAAGUCUGACCGAGCAACGCCGCGUGAGUGAAGAAGGUUUUCGGAUCGUAAAGCUCUGUUGUAAGAGAAGAACGAGUGUGAGAGUGGAAAGUUCACACUGUGACGGUAUCUUACCAGAAAGGGACGGCUAACUACGUG